rnacentral:rRNA from 1 species
CCUACGGGAGGCAGCAGUAGGGAAUUUUGGACAAUGGACGCAAGUCUGAUCCAGCCAUUCCGCGUGCAGGAUGAAGGCCCUCGGGUUGUAAACUGCUUUUGUACGGAACGUAAAGGUUUGUCUUAAUACGAUGAGCUCAUGACGGUACCGUAAGAAUAAGCACCGGCUAACUACGUGCCAGCAGCCGCGGUAAU